UACGUAGGGUGCAAGCGUUAAUCGGAAUUACUGGGCGUAAAGCGUGCGCAGGCGGUGAUGUAAGACAGUUGUGAAAUCCCCGGGCUCAAACUGGGAACUGCAUCUGUGACUGCAUCGCUGGAGUGCGGCAGAGGGGGAUGGAAUUCCGCGUGUAGCAGUGAAAUGCGUAGAUAUGCGGAGGAACACCGAUGGCGAAGGCAAUCCCCUGGACCUGUACUGACGCUCAUGCACGAAAGCGUGGGGAGCAAACAGG
rnacentral:rRNA from 1 species